rnacentral:rRNA from 1 species
CAAUUGGGCUGCUUAACAAUGCGAGUCGAACGGACUCUUCGGAGUUAGUGGCGGACGGGUGAGUAACGCGUGAGAAUCUAGCUUCAGAAUGGGGACAACAGAGGGAAACCGCUGCUAAUACCCGAUGUGCCGAAAGGUGAAAGAUUUAUCGUCUGAAGAUGAGCUCGCGUCCGAUUAGCUAGUUGGUAAGGUAAGAGCUUACCAAGGCGACGAUCGGUAGCUGGUCUGAGAGGAUGACCAGCCACACUGGGACUGAGACACGGCCCAGACUCCUACGGGAGGCAGCAGUGGGGAAUUUUCCGCAAUGGGCGAAAGCCUGACGGAGCAAGACCACGUGAGGGAGGAAGGUCUGUGGAUUGUAAACCUCUUUUGAUAGGGAAGAAGUUCUGACGGUACCUAUCGAAUCAGCCUCGGCUAACUCCGUGCCAGCAGCCGCGGUAAUA